UUACGCUGUUAUCCCUAAGGUAAUUUAGUCUUAUAGUCACUAAAAAUGGAUCAAAAAUAUAUAAAUAAAUAUAUAAAAAUAAAAAGAGUUAUAUUAAUCUUCCCAUCACCCCAACAAAAUUUACAUAAUAUUAAAUUAUUAACCCACAAAAAAUAUAAAUUAAAUCAAACUCUAUAGGGUCUUCUCGUCCCAAAAAAAUAUUUAGGCAUUUUAACCUAAAAUUUAAGUUCAAAAAAAUAAAAAUUUAAGACAGUAAAUACCUUGUCAAAUCAUUCAUUCCAGUCUUCAAUUAAAAAACUAAUGAUUAUGCUACCUUUGCACAGUCAAAAUACUGCGGCCAUUUAAAAUUCAGUGGGCAGAUACUACAUCAAAAUAUAUACAAGAUGCGAUGUUUUUGUUAAACAGGCG
rnacentral:rRNA from 1 species